rnacentral:rRNA from 1 species
GACGAACCGUGCAAACGUUAUUCGGAAUCACUGGGCAUAAAGGGCGCGUAGGCGGCUUGACAAGUCAGGGGUGAAAUCCGGCAGCUUAACUGUCGCAGUGCCUUUGAUACUGUCGAGCUCGAGGGAGGUAGGGGUCUGUGGAACUUCCGGUGGAGCGGUGAAAUGCGUUGAUAUCGGAAGGAACGCCGGUGGCGAAGCGAACGGACUGGAUCUCUUCUGACGCUGAGGCGCGAAAGCCAGGGGAGCAAAGCGGG